UACAGAGGUCUCAAGCGUUUGUUCGGAUUCAUUGGGCGUAAAGGGUGCGUAGGUGGCGUGGUAAGUCGGGUGUGAAAUUUCGGAGCUUAACUCCGAAACUGCAUUCGAUACUGCUGUGCUUGAGGACUGGAGAGGAGACUGGAAUUUACGGUGUAGCGGUGAAAUGCGUAGAUAUCGUAAGGAAGACCAGUGGCGAAGGCGGGGUCUCUGGACAGUUCCUGACGCUGAGGCACGAAGGCCAGGGGAGCAAACGGG
rnacentral:rRNA from 1 species